rnacentral:rRNA from 1 species
GAUGGGCAUGCGUCCCAUUAGCUUGUUGGUAAGGUAACGGCUUACCAAGGCAACGAUGGGUAGGGGUCCUGAGAGGGAGAUCCCCCACACUGGUACUGAGACACGGACCAGACUCCUACGGGAGGCAGCAGUGAGGAAUAUUGGUCAAUGGGCGCAAGCCUGAACCAGCCAUGCCGCGUGCAGGAUGAAGCAUCUAUGGUGUGUAAACUGCUUUUGUACGAGAAGAAACACUCCUACGUGUAGGAGCUUGACGGUAUCGUAAGAAUAAGGACCGGCUAACUCCGUGCCAGCAGCCGCGGUAAUACGGAGGGUCCAAGCGUUAUCCGGAAUCAUUGGGUUUAAAGGGUCCGUAGGCGGUUUAGUAAGUCAGUGGUGAAAGCCCAUCGCUCAACGGUGGAACGGCCAUUGAUACUGCUAGACUUGAAUUAUUAGGAAGUAACUAGAAUAUGUAGUGUAGCGGUGAAAUGCUUAGAUAUUACAUGGAAUACCAAUUGCGAAGGCAGGUUACUACUAAUAUAUUGACGCUGAUGGACGAAAGC